ACCAUGCAGUCGACGCGAAGUGGAGCAAUCCAUAAGUAGAGUGGCAAACGGGUGAGUAACACGUGGGUGACCUGCCUUCGAGUGGGGGAUAACCUUCCGAAAGGAGGGCUAAUACCGCAUGACAUACCGUGUUUGGAUACACGGAUAUCAAAGCCGGGGAUCGCAAGACCUGGCGCUUGGAGAGGGGCCCGCGUCCGAUUAGCUAGUUGGUGAGGUAACGGCUCACCAAGGCUCCGAUCGGUAUCCGGCCUGAGAGGGCGGACGGACACACUGGAACUGAGACACGGUCCAGACUCCUACGGGAGGCAGCAGUGGGGAAUUGUUCGCAAUGGGCGAAGGCCUGACGACGCAACGCCGCGUGGAGGAUGAAGAAUUUCGGUUCGUAAACUCCUUUCGACCGAGAUGAAUACCCAUGGACCCAACACGUCCGUGGGCUGACAGUAUCGAGAGAAGAAGCCCCGGCUAACUCUGUGCCAGCAGCCGCGGUAAUACAGGGGGGGGCAAGCGUUGUUCGGAAUUACUGGGCGUAAAGGGUUCGUAUGUGGCCAACUAAGUCAGACGUGAAAUCCCUCAGCUUAACUAGGGAACUGCGUCUGAUACUGGUUGGCUUGAGUGCAGAGAGGAACGCAGAAUUCCAGGUGUAGCGGUGAAAUGCGUAGAUAUCUGGAGGAUACCGGUGGCGAAUGCGGCGUUCUGGACUGUAACUGACACUGAGAAACGAAAGCCAGGGAGCAAA
rnacentral:rRNA from 1 species